GAAUUGGUAGUGUAAUGGAUAAUCACAACAGACUGUAAAACUGUAAGUAUGGGUUCGAGUCCUGUCUGAGGUU
rnacentral:tRNA from 1 species